AAUAAGUAAAAAACUUUCUAAAAAUUUAUAAAAAACAAAAUAGGUUAAGUAAAUUACCGCCAAAUCAAUAAGUCUGUAAAUGGAAAAGCAAGAUUUUUGCUUUCCCUUUUGGCCAUUCCAUUUUAUUCCACUCAAAAGAUGGUCCUUGAAAUGACAAUAUCAGCCUCACCUGGGACGUUGUUAGAAAUCAAAAUCUCAAACUCCAUCCAGACCUACUGAAUCAGAAUCACUGAUUAUAGAACCUCUCCAAGAGGUUCUAAAACACUCUAAAGUUUGAGAAGCACAUCUCCAUUCUACUCUGUUUCACAAAACUUUAAUAAAUGUGUAAAUUUCAUUUUGCCAGUACAGAUUCUUACCAAACCCAGAAAAUUAAUAACACAUCCAUUGCUCUGUUUUAACUAUAGUCACCAUACCAGUGUCCAUAAUUCCUACAAAUAGAAUAUGUAAAUUGAGCCCAAGGAAAACAACCCAAUAGCAUUAUCCAUCUAAAAUAUGAACAAGGGCUACAGUGAUUGGAAUUCUUUCAAGACCUGACUACACACAUUGAUUUAGGAUUAAAACAGUAAACACUUAGCUCAUUCUAAGCUUUAACAGAUAAAAUAGAUUUUUAAUAUAAGCUCAGAAAUGAGUAUCUUGCCGAGAGGGCAAGAGUAAACAUCCUGUGUGCUGUGACAAAAGUGAAAUAUAAUAUAUGAAAAAGGCAGUCAGAAUUCCAAUCUAUUGCUAUGAGUGGUUGUCUUGCCAAAUAAUGAAAAGUAUUGACAUUGCUGCUGAGCUGUCAUUGGCAUGCUACACAAACAUUGAGAUUUUCUAGGCAAAGUGACUGGAAGUCAUUCAAAUAUUUAUAAUGGUGUAAUGGGUGAACUGGAGAAUUUCUCUUUCAAAAAAAUUUUUGUUCCAAACUCCUUGAUGAGAAAAUAUUUGGAAUAAACCACAAUAGAUUUAUAUACAGACUUAUAUGGCUGAAAUUGAUUUUUGUUGCCCUGGGAAUUUAAGAAUCUUCUUAAUAGUUGAGAGCUGGUGUACAGCUGCAAGAGGUUGGCUUAAUACGAAGCCAAUAUUUAUGCUUUCUUGAUAGAAAAAAUGAGAAUUCUCUCUCUGUUUUCUAUCUUACUUAUGUUGAAAGCCUGGCAACACUGGGAUAUAAUACUUGCUUCUUCAAAAUGUUUUUAGACUGUUGUUCACUCUUUUGUAUUUCAUCUCGAAGCUGCUUUAUUUAUAAUAUUAUUAAACCUCAAAGAAACCCAUAUGGUGGAAGGGAAUGGAGAAAUUUUGCACUUUCACUAUUUUAUUCUUCUUUAAUAGAAUUUACGUGAAAAUGAAAAUUGUUCAAGUCUGCUUUUUGUCUCAAGGAGUAUGUCUAUACCUUGCAACAGGAUGGCUUAAAUGGAUGGGCAUGUGUGCGUGCGUUGUCUCCCUGUGUAAGAAGAGCUAUCACCUACUAUUUGCCAGGCAUCAUGCUAAGGAAUUCUCUAAUUCUUUCAACGAUCCUCAAAAAUGACAGAGGAGGAAACUGAACUUAAGAAAAUCAUUCUGGCCAUGAUGUGGGAGAUGAAGUGAAGAAAUGGUAAAAAGGAGAUCACUUGGGAGAUCACUACUACAUUACAGCUGAGAGACGAUAAAGACCUCACUGGAACAAUGACAGAGUAGAUAUGAAGAAAAGAACAAAAGGACUUUGUGACUUAUUGGCUACCCCAGGUGAAAGAGAGUGAAAAAAUACUCCAAGGUGAUGUGGAAGAUAGUGUGGACAAUUCACUGCAAGAGAACAGGAGUUUUAAAAAGGGAAAUGAUGUAUUCAGUUUAGUAUGUAUUGCAUUUGAGGUGCCAGCAGAUCAUCUAUAUAAAUACCCAGACAGAGGGGAGAUGAUUUCUGAGCUGUCAGCUCAUGGUAGUGGCUGAAAUCAUAUAGGCCUGGUAGACAGUACAGAGCAAUGGUUCUUAACAAGGUUGUGUGUUUAUGCGGAGGGAGAGAUUGGUCUGGCUUACCUAUCACUGAGUAAGACAAUAAACCAGCACACAAAGCUUAA